UAAUAAUUAAAAACUUGAGUCACAGAAAUCGAGACAUAAAGAGAGUGGAAAUUUUUUAAACAACAAGCCUCAACAAUAAGGAUUAUUUUCUGCUGGUCCAGUUUGAUGAAAGAAAGUCACACACAUCUUGGAUGACAAGAGGAUGGAGGAGGAAAAUAAAUGAAUUCAGAAAGACAUGUCUUUAGAAGUCCCAGAUCGGGCACUGGAUUCGGCACCAGCAAUGGCAACCUGAUGGUGGAAAAGGAGCUUCAGAAAACUUUCCUCUCUUCAGUCAGGACGAGGAAAUCCCUGGUUGCCAUGCCUGAGCCUUGAUGUCCUUAUGCAGUUGCAUCUGCCUGACACCAUUUCAGCAGCCCUGUAGUCAUUAAUUUUUCAUCGCU